UGGAAAUCAUUCGUAGAGUGUAAAGGCACAAGGGAGCUUGACUGCGAGACCUACAAGUCGAGCAGGGACGAAAGUCGGGCUUAGUGAUCCGGUGGUUCCGCAUGGAAGGGCCAUCGCUCAACGGAUAAAAGCUACCCCGGGGAUAACAGGCUUAUCUCCCCCAAGAGUCCACAUCGACGGGGAGGUUUGGCACCUCGAUGUCGGCUCAUCGCAUCCUGGGGCUGUAGUCGGUCCCAAGGGUUGGGCUGUUCGCCCAUUAAAGCGGUACGCGAGCUGGGUUCAGAACGUCGUGAGACAGUUCGGUCCCUAUCCGUCGUGGGCGUAGGAAAUUUGAGAGGAGCUGUCCUUAGUACGAGAGGACCGGGAUGGACACACCGCUGGUGUACCAGUUGUCUUGCCAAAGGCAUCGCUGGGUAGCUAUGUGUGGACGGGAUAAGUGCUGAAAGCAUCUAAGCAUGAAGCCCCCCUCAAGAUGAGAUUUCCCAUAGCGCAAGCUAGUAAGAUCCCUGAAAGAUGAUCAGGUUGAUAGGUCAGAGGUGGAAGCGUGGCGACAUGUGUAGCUGACUGAUACUAAUCGAUCGAGGACUUAACCAAA
rnacentral:rRNA from 2 species